rnacentral:lncRNA from 1 species
GGGAAAGAUUUUGAUCGCGUGAGAAAGAAGCCAUUUGGAAAGCAGGAUUGCUGUAGGAUCUGAAAGAUCUCAUCCUGUAGGAUUUGACCAUGCAUCUUUGAACUUGAAUCUCUAGAGAUGAAUGAACUACCCAGAACCUGGAGUUUAUAUGCCUAGGAAGAAGGUGUGCCCCCU